rnacentral:rRNA from 1 species
ACUUUACAAUGCGGGAAACCGUGAUAAGGGGACACCGAGUGCUAGCAUCAUAUGCUGGCUGUCCAGGUGUGUAAAAUACACCUGUUAGCAAGGGCCGGGCAAGACCGGUGCCAGCCGCCGCGGUAACACAGGCGGCCCGAGUGGUGAUCGUGAUUAUUGGGUCUAAAGGGUCCGUAGCCGGUUUGGUCAGUCCUCCGGGAAAUCUGAUAGCUCAACUAUUAGGCUUUCGGGGGAUACUGCCAGACUUGGAACCGGGAGAGGUAAGAGGUACUACAGGGGUAGGAGUGAAAUCUUGUGAUCCCUGUGGGACUACCUGUGGCGAAGGCGUCGUACCAGAACGGGUUCGACGGUGAGGGACGAAAGCUGGGGGCACGAACCGG